rnacentral:rRNA from 1 species
UACGUAGGGUGCGAGCGUUAAUCGGAUUUACUGGGCGUAAAGGGCGCGUAGGCGGCCGCGCAAGUCUGGUGUGAAAGCCCAGGGCUUAACCCUGGAAGGGCACUGGAAACUGUGCGGCUUGAGUGCCGGAGAGGAGGGGGGAAUUCCCGGUGUAGCGGUGAAAUGCGUAGAUAUCGGGAGGAAGGCCGGUGGCGAAGGCGGCCUCCUGGGCCUGCACUGACGCUGAGGCGCGAAAGCGUGGGGAGCAAACAGG